rnacentral:rRNA from 1 species
AUGGGGGCAACCCUGAUCUAUCCAUGCCGCGUGUGUGAUGAAGGCCCUAGGGUCGUAAAGCACUUUCGCCAGAGAUGAUAAUGACAGUAUCUGGUAAAGAAACCCCGGCUAACUCCGUGCCAGCAGCCGCGGUAAUACGGAGGGGGUUAGCGUUGUUCGGAAUUACUGGGCGUAAAGCGCACGUAGGCGGAUUAGUAAGUUAGAGGUGAAAUCCCAGGGCUCAACCCUGGAACUGCCUUUAAUACUGCUAGUCUUGAGUUCGAGAGAGGUAAGUGGAAUUCCGAGUGUAGAGGUGAAAUUCGUAGAUAUUCGGAGGAACACCAGUGGCGAAGGCGGCUUACUGGCUCGAUACUGACGCUGAGGUGCGAAAGUGUGGGGAGCAAACAGGAUUAGAUACCCUGGUAGUCCACACCGUAAACGAUGAAUGCCAGACGUCAGCAAGUAUACUUGUUGGUGUCCCCCCUAACGGAUUAAGCAUUCCGCCUGGGGAGUACGGUC